rnacentral:rRNA from 1 species
CGGAGGAAAAGAAACCAACAGGGAUUGCCCCAGUAACGGCGAGUGAAGCGGCAACAGCUCAAAUUUGAAAUCUGGCCCCUCCGGGUCCGAGUUGUAAUUUGUAGAGGAUGCUUUUGGUGAGGUGCCGCCCGAGUUCCCUGGAACGGGACGCCACAGAGGGUGAGAGCCCCGUCUGGCUGGCCACCGAGCCUCUGUAAAGCUCCUUCGACGAGUCGAGUAGUUUGGGAAUGCUGCUCAAAAUGGGAGGUAUAUGUCUUCUAAAGCUAAAUAUUGGCCAGAGACCGAUAGCGCACAAGUAGAGUGAUCGAAAGAUGAAAAGCACCUUGAAAAGAGGGUUAAACAGUACGUGAAAUUGUUGAAAGGGAAGCGCUUGUGACCAGACUUGGGCGCGGCGGAUCAUCCGGGGUUCUCUCCGGUGCACUUCGCCGCGUUCAGGCCAGCAUCAGUUCGUCGCGGGGGAAAAAGGCUUCGGGAACGUGGCUCCUCCGGGAGUGUUAUAGCCCGUUGCAUAAUACCCUGCGGUGGACUGAGGACCGCGCAUCUGCAAGGAUGCUGGCGUAAUGGUCACCAGCGACCCGUCUUGAAACACGGACCAAGGAGUCGUCUUCGUAUGCGAGUGUUCGGGUGUCAAACCCCUACGCGUAAUGAAAGUGAACGCAGGUGAGAGCUUCGGCGCAUCAUCGACCGAUCCUGAUGUUCUCGGAUGGAUUUGAGUAAGAGCAUACGGGGCCGGACCCGAAAGAAGGUGAACUAUGCCUGUAUAGGGUGAAGCCAGAGGAAACUCUGGUGGAGGCUCGCAGCGGUUCUGACGUGCAAAUCGAUCGUCAAAUAUGGGCAUGGGGGCGAAAGACUA